CACGCAUCUUCUGACGUAUGGUCUGACGUCAUGACGCACGAGGUCAGCGAUACGGUCUUUCAACCACACACCGCUUUUGCUUUCCAAUCAGGGAAAUUUCCUAUGUAACAAAAUAGCGCUAUUUUAUCAUGAGUUUAAUCCAUUUGACCGACUGUGUUGUUCAGUGUGUGUGUGUGUGUGUGUGCGCGUGUGCGUGUGCGUGUGCGUGUGCGUGCGUGUAUAUAUAUAUAUAUAUAUUAGCAUUGAAUGUUUGUCACAAGUAUUUAAAAAGUGUUGUGCUAAGUUAGCAAUUCACCCAGUAAGUUUCAUAUCGGUAGGCAUACAGUAUAUGUAAACUGAUUGAGGUACAUUGAUCAUUUAUUGACUGAUUAUAUGUUAGUAAUUGUGUUCUGUGUACAAGCUUUGCCUUACUGCAAAGCUUUCAAUAUUAGUAUCUCUUUAGUCUUUUCUCAGGAACUCAAGAAACUUUCUUAAGGCCGACUUACAACCCAUGACUGCCGUCAGGCUGAACUAAGCCUGACAGGUUGGGAAAGACAUCUGAAACCUGAAUUGUCUUGACAUCAGAAAAAUGAGUGAACUGAUCAGAUCACUGAAACUGCGGUGAGGGUGCUACAAAUACCCUGACACACCGGUGCGAGGAGAAUCAUCUCAUCCUCAAAGAGAAGAUGACAGAAGACGAGACAGCAGUGGUGGUCUUCAGGGGACACACCACCACCAACUCCAUGACAGUGGAGGGAGUCAGCCACUUCAGAUUCCCUGACGUUUACAUAAAAACCUCACAUGGGUGAGGGUGAAAAAGGCCCAGCAAUGACUCCUCUCUUUAUUUUAGAGAUAACUGAUGAAGUAUGGAAUAAGCUCUGCAAUCAUUAGACAGACCUCAGCAUAUACUCACAACUCCACUGAGCAAAAAUAGUUAUAGUUUAAUAAUGUAAUAUCAUAUAUUCAAAUCAAGUCAAAAGUUUACUUCACCUUUGCAGAACCUGGAAAAUGCAGAACAUUUGGGAAAAAUAAGAGGUAUUUUGAAAGAUUUAUUUUUAACUCUUUCCUGCCCUGCACAACUUAUUUUGCAAAAGAAAUGUUAACCCAAAGUUCACUUCACACCAAAGAAUAAUAAAAGAAAUACAUUACUACAUGAAACAUAAGAUUCACAAACAAAACAAUAUGUACAUCAAAAAACAUUUUCAGAGGUUUACACCCACCUGACUUUAAAUGAAUGGUGUUGACUUCUUGAACAUCACUGACGGUUUCUUUCGGUUGUAAUAUUUGUGUAUGAUCGUCCUCAAUGUAAAAAGAUGAAUCUCAACAACGUACAGUUACUGUUGGACAUAAGUCAAAUAUACAGAAAUAAUGAAAACGUUUUUUUUAUAAUACUAAAUUCAAACUUUACUUCUGAAUUGUCUGGAACGCAGAAUAAGGUGAGUUAGAUUCGGGUUACAGCUUCACUCUGCAGGACUGUGACCCUCCAGGGCUGAGUUGGACACAUUUAGUCAUUUAGGAGACGCUUUUAUCUAAAGUGACUAACAGAGAAAAAAGCAGGAAAUGAAGCUAUAUGUCAUGCAUGUGCAAUAAUACAGUAAAUUUUUUCCACAAAAGCCAGAUUUUUUGUUUUUAUGUAUUUAUUUCGUUGUAAAGUAUUGUCCUGGUGUAUACCAUUAUGAAUGCUUCAUGCGGUCAAUAAAAUGUAUAUUAAAUAUAUUUAUAACUAUU